rnacentral:rRNA from 1 species
AAACGACUCUCGGCAACGGAUAUCUCGGCUCACGCAUCGAUGAAGAACGUAGCAAAAUGCGAUACUUGGUGUGAAUUGCAGAAUCCCGUGAACCAUCGAGUUUUUGAACGCAAGUUGCGCCCAAAGCCAUCCGGCUGAGGGCAUGCCUGCCUGGGCGUCACGC